rnacentral:rRNA from 1 species
CUCAGAUUGAACGCUGGCGGCAGGCCUAACACAUGCAAGUCGAACGGUAACAGAAAGCAGCUUGCUGCUUUGCUGACGAGUGGCGGACGGGUGAGUAAUGUCUGGGAAACUGCCUGAUGGAGGGGGAUAACUACUGGAAACGGUAGCUAAUACCGCAUAACGUCGCAAGACCAAAGAGGGGGACCUUCGGGCCUCUUGCCAUCGGAUGUGCCCAGAUGGGAUUAGCUUGUUGGUGGGGUAACGGCUCACCAAGGCGACGAUCCCUAGCUGGUCUGAGAGGAUGACCAGCCACACUGGAACUGAGACACGGUCCAGACUCCUACGGGAGGCAGCAGUGGGGAAUAUUGCACAAUGGGCGCAAGCCUGAUGCAGCCAUGCCGCGUGUAUGAAGAAGGCCUUCGGGUUGUAAAGUACUUUCAGCGGGGAGGAAGGGAGUAAAGUUAAUACCUUUGCUCAUUGACGUUACCCGCAGAAGAAGCACCGGCUAACUCCGUGCCAGCAGCCGCGGUAAUACGGAGGGUGCAAGCGUUAAUCGGAAUUACUGGGCGUAAAGCGCACGCAGGCGGUUUGUUAAGUCAGAUGUGAAAUCCCCGGGCUCAACCUGGGAACUGCAUCUGAUACUGGCAAGCUUGAGUCUCGUAGAGGGGGGUAGAAUUCCAGGUGUAGCGGUGAAAUGCGUAGAGAUCUGGAGGAAUACCGGUGGCGAAGGCGGCCCCCUGGACGAAGACUGACGCUCAGGUGCGAAAGCGUGGGGAGCAAACAGGAUUAGAUACCCUGGUAGUCCACGCCGUAAACGAUGUCGACUUGGAGGUUGUGCCCUUGAGGCGUGGCUUCCGGAGCUAACGCGUUAAGUCGACCGCCUGGGGAGUACGGCCGCAAGGUUAAAACUCAAAUGAAUUGACGGGGGCCCGCACAAGCGGUGGAGCAUGUGGUUUAAUUCGAUGCAACGCGAAGAACCUUACCUGGUCUUGACAUCCACGGAAGUUUUCAGAGAUGAGAAUGUGCCUUCGGGAACCGUGAGACAGGUGCUGCAUGGCUGUCGUCAGCUCGUGUUGUGAAAUGUUGGGUUAAGUCCCGCAACGAGCGCAACCCUUAUCCUUUGUUGCCAGCGGUCCGGCCGGGAACUCAAAGGAGACUGCCAGUGAUAAACUGGAGGAAGGUGGGGAUGACGUCAAGUCAUCAUGGCCCUUACGACCAGGGCUACACACGUGCUACAAUGGCGCAUACAAAGAGAAGCGACCUCGCGAGAGCAAGCGGACCUCAUAAAGUGCGUCGUAGUCCGGAUUGGAGUCUGCAACUCGACUCCAUGAAGUCGGAAUCGCUAGUAAUCGUGGAUCAGAAUGCCACGGUGAAUACGUUCCCGGGCCUUGUACACACCGCCCGUCACACCAUGGGAGUGGGUUGCAAAAGAAGUAGGUAGCUUAACCUUCGGGAGGGCGCUUACCACUUUGUGAUUCAUGACUGGGGUGAAGUCGUAACAAGGUAACCGUAGGGGAACCUGCGGUUGGAUCACCU